AUUAGUAUUAGUUAUGAUCUUGAAAAUUAAAAGAUUUGGCGGUAUUUUAGACUUUUCAGAGGAACUUGUCCUGUAAUUGAUAAUCCACGAUUUGAUUUACUUUUUUUUUUAGUUUAUAUAUCGUUGUAAUUGAAAAUUUUAAAAAAAUUUUAAAUUUUCAGAAUUUUAAAUUAAAUAAUAUAUCAGAUCAAGAUGUAAUUGAUAAAAAAGUAGUGAUGAGUUACAAUAUUUUUAUUUUAGGAUAUUUAUUAUUAUAAUAAAUUGAAUUUGGAUUUGAAAGUAAUUUAAAUUAAUUUAUUUAAAUGAUUUAGCUCUAAAAUAUGUACACAUCGCCCG
rnacentral:rRNA from 1 species